GCCAGGCGUGGUGGCGUGUGCCUGUAAUCCCAGCUACUCGGGAGGCUGAGGUGGGAGGAUUGCUUGAGCCCAGGAGUUCUGGACUGUAGUGCGCUAUGCCGAUCAGGUGUCCACACUAGGUUCAGCAUCAAUAUGGUGACCUCCUGGGAGCGGGGGACAACCAGGUUGCCUAAGGAGGGGUGAACCCGCCCAGGCUGGAAAUGGAGCAGGUCAAAACUCCCAUGCUGAUCAGUAGUGGGAUCGCACCUGUGAAUAGCCACUGCAUUCCAGCCUGGGCAACACAGUGAGACCCCGUCUCU
rnacentral:SRP_RNA from 1 species